rnacentral:rRNA from 1 species
GACGAACGCUGGCGGCGUGCCUAAUACAUGCAAGUAGAACGCUGAAGGAGGAGCUUGCUCUUCUGGAUGAGUUGCGAACGGGUGAGUAACGCGUAGGUAACCUGCCUGGUAGCGGGGGAUAACUAUUGGAAACGAUAGCUAAUACCGCAUAAUAGUAGAUGUUGCAUGAUAUUUACUUAAAAGGUGCAAUUGCACCACUACCAGAUGGACCUGCGUUGUAUUAGCUAGUUGGUGGGGUAACGGCUCACCAAGGCGACGAUACAUAGCCGACCUGAGAGGGUGAUAGGCCACACUGGGACGGAGACACGGCCCAGACUCCUACGGGAGGCAGCAGUAGGGAAUCUUCGGCAAUGGACGAAAGUCUGACCGAGCAACGCCGCGUGAGUGAAGAAGGUUUUCGGAUCGUAAAGCUCUGUUGUAAGAGAAGAACGAGUGUGAGAGUGGAAAGUUCACACUGUGACGGUAUCUUACCAGAAAGGGACGGCUAACUACGUG